rnacentral:rRNA from 2 species
AAAGAAACUAACCAGGAUUGCCUCAGUAACGGCGAGUGAAGCGGCAAGAGCUCAAAUUUGAAAUCUGGCUCCUUCGGUGCCCGAGUUGUAAUUUGCAGAGGAUGCUUCGGGGGUGGUCGCCGCCUAAGUCCCCUGGAACGGGGCGUCAGAGAGGGUGAGAAUCCCGUCUUUGGUGGGCUGGCCGCUCCCGGGUGAAGCUCCUUCGACGAGUCGAGUUGUUUGGGAAUGCAGCUCUAAGCGGGUGGUAAAUUUCAUCUAAAGCUAAAUAUUGGCUGGAGACCGAUAGCGCACAAGUAGAGUGAUCGAAAGACGAAAAGUACUUUGAAAAGAGAGUUAAACAGCACGUGAAAUUGUUGAAAGGGAAGCGCUGGCCGCCAGAUUCGGCCUUGGGGGCUCACUGAGCAUGCUUGCUUAGGCACUCCCUCAGGGUCGGGUCAGCAUCGGUUUAGGCGGUUGGUUAAAGGCUCCCGGAAUGUGUCGCCCUUCGGGGCGUCUUAUAGCCGGGGGUGCAAUGCGGCCUGCCUGGACCGAGGAUCGCGCUUCGGCUCGGAUGCUGGCAU